rnacentral:rRNA from 1 species
AGUGAACGCUGGCGGUAGGCCUAACACAUGCAAGUCGAACGGCAGCACAGUAAGAGCUUGCCCUUACGGGUGGCGAGUGGCGGACGGGUGAGGAAUACAUCGGAAUCUACUUUUUCGUGGGGGAUAACGUAGGGAAACUUACGCUAAUACCGCAUACGACCUACGGGUGAAAGCAGGGGAUCUUCGGACCUUGCGCGAUUGAAUGAGCCGAUGUCGGAUUAGCUAGUUGGCGGGGUAAAGGCCCACCAAGGCGACGAUCCGUAGCUGGUCUGAGAGGAUGAUCAGCCACACUGGAACUGAGACACGGUCCAGACUCCUACGGGAGGCAGCAGUGGGGAAUAUUGGACAAUGGGCGCAAGCCUGAUCCAGCCAUACCGCGUGGGUGAAGAAGGCCUUCGGGUUGUAAAGCCCUUUUAUUGGGAAAGAAAAGCAGCAGGUUAAUACCCCGCUGUUCUGACGGUACCCAAAGAAUAAGCACCGGCUAACUUCGUG